rnacentral:rRNA from 1 species
AUUGAACGCUGGCGGCAGGCCUAAUACAUGCAAGUCGAACGAGUGGCGGACGGGAGAGAAAUGUCUGGGAAACUGAUAGAUGGAGGGGGAUAAAUUGUGGAAACGGUAGCUAAUACCGUAUUACAACAGAUGCGCCCAGGUGGGAUUAGCUAGUAGGUGGGGUAACGGCUCACCUAGGCGACGAGCCCUAGCUGGUCUGAGAGGAUGACCCGCCACACUGGAACUGAGACACGGUCCAGACUCCUACGGGAGGCAGCAGUGGGGAAUAUUGCACAAUGGGCGCAAGCCUGAUGCAGCCAUGCCGCGUGUGUGAAGAAGGCCUUCGGGUUGUAAAGCACUUUCAGCGGGGAGGCGUUACCCGCAGAAGAAGCACCGGCUAACUCCGUGCCAGCAGCCGCGGUAAUUC